rnacentral:rRNA from 1 species
AUUGAACGCUGGCGGCAGGCCUAACACAUGCAAGUCGAGCGGAUGAAGGGAGCUUGCUCCUGGAUUCAGCGGCGGACGGGUGAGUAAUGCCUAGGAAUCUGCCUGGUAGUGGGGGAUAACGUCCGGAAACGGGCGCUAAUACCGCAUACGUCCUGAGGGAGAAAGUGGGGGAUCUUCGGACCUCACGCUAUCAGAUGAGCCUAGGUCGGAUUAGCUAGUUGGUGGGGUAAAGGCCUACCAAGGCGACGAUCCGUAACUGGUCUGAGAGGAUGAUCAGUCACACUGGAACUGAGACACGGUCCAGACUCCUACGGGAGGCAGCAGUGGGGAAUAUUGGACAAUGGGCGAAAGCCUGAUCCAGCCAUGCCGCGUGUGUGAAGAAGGUCUUUGGAUUGUAAAGCACUUUAAGUUGGGAGGAAGGGCAGCAAGUUAAUACCUUGCUGUUUUGACGUUACCAACAGAAUAAGCACCGGCUAACUUCGUG